rnacentral:rRNA from 1 species
GAGUUUGAUCCUGGCUCCGCUCGAAUGCGUGGGAACAGUUUAACACAUGCAAGUCGUUUGUUCGACUCGAACAAAGGCGUCCGGGUGAGUGAUUCUUAGUUGACAACACACUUUCAAAGUAAAACUCCAAAGGCAUAGACCGGAGUGUGAAGUCUCUGAGAUGGAUUAGGUAGUUGGUGCGGUAGCGGCGCACCAAGCCCAAGAUCCAGAGUCUCCCUUAGCAGGGGUAAGGCCACAGCGGAACUGAAAAAGGUCCGUCCGUGAAUGCGGCAGCAGUGAAGAAUCUUUGACAAUGGGCAUACGCCUGAUCGAGCUGUUCCUAAAGAUAGAUCUUACGUCGAGAUCCGAAAGGAAGGCCAACGAGUCGAAACCCUUUAAUAAUUUAGUUUCAUACUGAAGAGUUCUCUAAAUUUUUAGUUCCGGCUAAUCCUGUGCCAGCAGCCGCGGUAAUACAGGAGGAACAAGUAUUGAGCGUCAUGACUGGGUUUAAAACGUGGGCAGGUGGGUCUAAGAGUCUAGAAGGGUUUUCCCAUUUCCAAAUGGGCUCCUUUCGAGAACCUCAGAUCUUUGGGUCAAAAUAAGGAUGAGAGAAUAGUCCAAGAACCGGUAAAAUGGAGCAAUAUGGAUUGGAAUGCCCACGGCGAAGGCACUCAUCUGGUUUUGUACCGACACUCAGCUACGGAAGCGUGGGGAGCAAAUAGGAUUAGAUACCCUAGUAGUCCACGCCGUCAACGAUGGAUAAUCAUGUGAGUCAAAACUCACAGACGCGAAAUGUCAGAUUAUUCUACCUGGGGAGUACGAUCGCAAGAUUAAAACUCAAAGGAAUAGACCGCUGGAUAGACCGACGGUGGAACAUGUUGUUUAAUGCGAGAAUACGCGCAACACCUCACCACUCUUUGACAUUUAGGU